rnacentral:rRNA from 1 species
UACGGGGGGAGCAAGCGUUGUCCGGAUUUACUGGGCGUAAAGAGCGCGCAGGCGGUCGUUCAAGUCGCGUGUGAAAGCCCCCGGCUCAACUGGGGAGGGUCACGCGAUACUGAUCGACUCGAAGGCAGGAGAGGGUAGUGGAAUUCCCGGUGUAGUGGUGAAAUGCGUAGAUAUCGGGAGGAACACCAGUGGCGAAGGCGACUACCUGGCCUGUUCUUGACGCUGAGGCGCGAAAGCUAGGGGAGCAAACGGG